CAGCAGCCGCGGGAAUACCGAGGGUGCAAGCGUUAAUCGGAUUUACUGGGCGUAAAGGGCGCGUAGGUGGUUAUUUAAGUGAGAUGUGAAAGCCCCGGGCUUAACCUGGGAACUGCAUCUUAUACUGGGUAACUGGAGUGCAGUAGAGGGUAGUGGAAUUUCCGGUGUAGCGGUGAAAUGCGUAGAUAUCGGAAGGAACACCAGUGGCGAAGGCGACUAUCUGGGCCAACACUGACACUGAGGCACGAAAGCGUGGGGAGCAAACAGGAUUAGAUACCCGCGUAGUCCCUGUCUCUUAUAA
rnacentral:rRNA from 1 species